rnacentral:rRNA from 1 species
AUGGAGGCUGCUCUUGUGGGUGUUGGCGUGGGGGUGAUGAAGCCGCUCCUGGAGAAGCUCUUCAAGCUGUCGGAGGAAGAGUACGCCCGGCUCAAAGUCAAAGGCUUGGCUCGUCAGGUCGAAGCCACGAGAGAUGAGAUGUGCAGCAUGACGGCCGCGCUAGAGGCGCUUGAGGAUGCCGAGCAGCUGGACCCUGAGAUGAUACCUUGGAGGGACGACGUCCGCGAGCUGUCCUACGACAUGGAAGAUUGCAUUGAUGACUUCACGGCUCGUCUUGACCACGAGGGCGGUGGGCAUACAGGCCUCAAGGGGUUCUUUGACAAGCUAAAGAAGCUCAAACCAAGCCAUGAGAUCGCUGUCGAGUUCGAAAAGCUCAAGGCCCGGGCUAUCGAGGCAAGCAAGAGGCACAAGAGGUACAAAAAUGACUUCCCAAUACCCAACUCUAUCACCUCUGAAAUUGAUCCCAGGCUGCAUGCACUUUAUGUGGAUGUUGCUAAGAUUGUGGGCAUGGACGAUCCUAAGAAGCAUAUCAUUGAGCGGCUCAAGAAUGAAGAUUUUUCUACCCCGCUUCAAGUGGUGUCGAUUGUUGGUACAGGUGGUCUUGAAAAGACUACCCUAGCAAAUGCAGUCUACCAAGCCAUUAAAGGUGAAUUCUCAUGUUCAGCACUUGUGUCGGUUUCUCGAAAGCCUAACAUGAAAAAUGUUCUAAGAGAUAUUGCUGAGAGAGUGGGGAUCUCUCACAGCACUUCCAAUGAUGACGAGCGGCGACUUAUUGAUCGGCUCCGAGACCACCUUCAGAACGAAAAGUACCUUAUCGUGAUCGACGAUAUCUGGAGCACUGAAGCAUGGGAAACCAUAAGGGAUGCCCUACUGAAUAAUGAUCAUGGUAGCAGAAUUAUCACUACAACACGUAAUAGUACAGUUGCAUCACAUUGUUGUUCUGGAACCGGUUAUGUUUACAAAAUGAAACCCCUCAGUCCUGCUGACUCCAGAAGCUUGUUUUUGCAAAGAGCAUUCGGUUCAGAGGAUUUAUUCCCCCCGCAUCUGGAAAAUGUGUCUGGAGGGAUAUUGCAGAAAUGCGAGGGCCUACCACUGGCUAUUAUUACCAUGUCUAGUUUGCUGGCAGAUCAAACAGCCGAAGAAGAAUGGAACAGGGCACUGGCUGCUAUUGGUUCUUCACUUGCAAAGGAAUCUCAUGCUGAAGCCCUGACAAAGAUAUUAUCUCUGAGUUAUUUUGAUCUUCCUCACCCUAUGAGAACUUGUUUGUUGUACUUCAGUGCAUUCCCAGAAGAUCAUAUUAUCAAGAAAAGGAAUUUGAUACAUAAAUGGAUCGCCGAAGGCUUCAUCCAUGAAGAACCACAUCGGAGUGCAUACGGAGUAGGGGAGAGUUAUUUUUAUGGUUUCAUCAACAGAAGCUUGAUUCAAGCACACGACAUAAAGUAUGGCCAGGUGGAGACAUGCAAAGUUCAUGACAUUAUUCUGGAUUUCAUCACAUGCAAGGCCAGUGAAGAGAAUUUCAUGACAACAUAUGGUGAUGCCGAGCAUAGGAAGAAACACAAGAUUCGCAGGCUCUCUGUCAUGAGCCGCUAUAGCGAAAUGGCUGCUGUGCCAGGGGAUCUCUCUCAUGUUCGAUCACUUGCUAUGUUUGGGAAUUUCGGGCAAAAUUCUUUGUUGUCUUUUCCAGCUCUUCGUGUGUUGGACCUGGGAGAAUGUCGGGAUUUAGAAAACAGCCAUCUGACAAAUAUUGGAAAGUUAUUUCUUCUCAAGUACUUGCGUCUUGGAUCAGAUAAAAUAACAGAGCUUCCAUGUAAAAUUGGAGAUCUGCAGUAUUUGGAAACUCUGGACAUAAAGGGCACCACAAUUGCAAAACUACCAUCAACUAUUACACGGCUUCAAAGAUUGACCCGUCUAUAUGUGGAAAACUGCGCUAAUUUAUCUGAUGGAAUAAUUGGACAGUUGCAGAGCUUAGAAGAACUAGAGAAUGUUCAUGUCUGCCCCUCGCGAAUAAAGAUGCCUCUGGUAGAGCUCGACAAGUUAACCAAUCUAAGGACGUUGAGUGUAAGUAUCCUGUAUCCGCUUCAUUUCUGUCAUGCUGAUGGAGCUGAAGAUGUUGGGAGAUUUGUAGGGAUUUUAAUAUCUUCAUGCAAUCUUCAUCAUCUACGGAUUGAUUAUAUGGCUGAACUUACAAUUUGGGGCCUACUGUCCCUGGAAUCAUGGCGCCCUACUACUCCUUCUGUACUCCUGGAGAUCUCCAUCACUAAUUACCACAUCGACAAAGUUCCGAAUUGGAUGAUCUCCCCUGUGAAUCUUAGGGCGUUAGACAUAUCCUUGUACCGUAUGGGACCAGAAGAUGUCGAGAUCCUUGGAGCUAUGCCCGUCUGUUUUUCCUGA